rnacentral:lncRNA from 1 species
CAUGCCCACUUUGGUUUAUUUUUGUCAGACAAAAAUAAUUCCCCACAUCCCUUUCUUGAUAAGAUCUAAUUUACUUCCACAUUUAAAUCAAAUUUAAAAGAGAAGUUAAGUCAUAAGGGAGAGAGAAUCCUAGAAAAGGUAGGGCGCCAAUCACACAUGCAAAGAAAAAGGAGAUGCAUCUUCAUGCAUCCCUCCUUUCUUUCUACA